UUUCCGUAGGUGAACCUGCGGAAGGAUCAUUAUUGUAUAACCGAGGUGCGAGGGCUGUCGCUGACCCGACAGGUCGUGCACGCCCGAGUGCCCUCACCCACAUCCAUCUCACCCCGAUGUGCACCACCGCCUGGGUCCCCCUUUGGCUUGUUCGGAGGGGGGCUUACGUUUUCACACAAACUUUGUAUGCCGUGUGGAAUGUAUUUUUUGUUUUUUGCGAUCACGCGAUCAAUACAACUUUCAACAACGGAUCUCUUGGCUCUC
rnacentral:misc_RNA from 1 species